UCUAGCAGCUGUUGAGCAGGU
rnacentral:miRNA from 1 species